CCAGGUCCCACUAAUCUUCCCAGGAAAGAAAUGGACAGCUCUCAUACUUUGGGCCACUAGGCAUUGGUUGCCAAUUGGGAACAUCAUCAGAAAACUUUCUUAAAAUGGUCAUUGGACAGAGAAAGAGAGAGCACUGUGAGCGUAUGGGGGCAGGAAGGAGCAGAAGAAGAGGCAGAGAAUCUCAAGGAGACGCCCUGUUCGGUGUGGAGCCCAGUAUAGGACAGGCCUCUAUCCCACAACCCUGAGAUCAUGACCUGAGCCAAAAUCAAGAGUCGGUCACUUAACUGACCGAGCCACCCAAACGCCCCAUCAAUUUUCUGAAUAUAACUUAGAAGUAGAAUUGCUAGACCAUAUGGCACAUUUUUUUCAGGAACUGACAUACUCUUUUCUACAGAGGCUAUACCAGUUACAUCCCCACACAGUGGGAACACUCCCCCUGGAAAUUGGCAAGCCUUUCACAGACUCCAGGUUUCCAA
rnacentral:lncRNA from 1 species